CGAUCAAGCAUGUGUUUAGAUUUCUGACAGCUUCUACAUUUUCGAUGCAUCGGAAACAUCUGGGGACCACGCUUUGAGGAAAACAUUCCCAAUGGAGUCAAUGAAGGCUUGCAGCGUCCAUCUUGGACGUUUCCAUGGCAACCGGUGGCACCAUCACCUGGAAAAGACUCUUUAUCGAUUGUUAACAUGUAUACCUCUAAGUUGAAACUAAAUAAACCUAACAAAUACUU